rnacentral:rRNA from 1 species
CGGGGUGCAGCAGGCGCGAAAACUUUACACUGCGGGAAACCGUGAUAAGGGGACACCGAGUGCCAGCAUCAUAUGCUGGCUGUCCAGGUGUGUAAAAUACACCUGUCAGCAAGGGCCGGGCAAGACCGGUGCCAGCCGCCGCGGUAACACCGGCGGCCCGAGUGGUGAUCGUGAUUAUUGGGUCUAAAGGGUCCGUAGCCGGUUUGGUCAGUCCUCCGGGAAAUCUGACGGCUCAACCGUUAGGCUUUCGGGGGAUACUGCCAGGCUUGGAACCGGGAGAGGUAAGAGGUACUACAGGGGUAGGAGUGAAAUCUUGUAAUCCCUGUGAGACCACCUGUGGCGAAGGCGUCUUACCAGAACGGGUUCGACGGUGAGGGACGAAAGCUGGGGGCACGAACCGGAUUAGAUACCCGGGUAGUCCCAGCCGUAAACGAUGCUCGCUAGGUGUCAGGCAUGGCGCGACCGUGUCUGGUGCCGCAGGGAAGCCGUGAAGCGAGCCACCUGGGAAGUACGGCCGCAAGGCUGAAACUUAAAGGAAUUGGCGGGGGAGCAC